GACAGAAAAGCCUUCUCCAUCUCCUACACACUCUGAAAUAAUCUGUCAGAAGAUCCUCAUCCUGCCGUGCUGGCUUACUCUGGAUCAAGAGACAAAGACUCCAGCUCUAUCUCUGAUGGACCGAGUAGGAAGAAUCAGCAUGAGUCAACCCACCAGGUUUCCCAGAGCUUAAUCCAGAAGGGACCCAAACACUAGGGCCUCAAGAACUGCAGUCUUGGCCAGGCACGGUGGCUCACGCCUGUAAUCCCGGCACUUUGGGAGGCCGAGGCAGGCAGAUCACCUGAGGUCAGGAGUUCGAGACCAGCCUGACCAACAUGGUGAAACCCCAUCUCUACUAAAAAUACAAAAUUAGCCAGGCAUGGUUGGCACAUGCCUGUAAUCCCAGCUACUUGGGAGGCUGAGACAGGAGAAUCGCUUGAACCCAGGAGGCAGAAAAAAGAAAAAAGAGAGAGCUGCAGUCUUUUUCAUUUAGCCUCCUAUGAACAUAUGUCUAGGUCACAAAUCCUUUCCUUGUAUCCUCUGACCUUGUGGCGUCCUGUGUCCUUUUACUGUGCUCAGGCCUCCAGGUUGGAGUCAUGCAAAACCAUCUAAGAAACAACUGAGCCUUAGGAAAAGCUAGAAGAGCUUCUUCUACUAAAUGAUAAACAUCAAAGGCAGUCCAAGAGUUUUAAAGCCCAAAUGAGAAAGAAUGCCCCCGCUACACACACAUAGCACCCUACACUCACGUCACCUAAGGUUUAUAUCUUAAUGACUUCAUAAAAUAUGUUCAUUAUAAAACAUUUGUAGAAACUCACAAAAAAAAACCUAAUUCCCAGUUAAUUACUAUAUUAAAUGUAUUCCUUCUCAUCUUCUCUCUGUACUUCUAUGAGUGUUCUCUUUUGCAAUAGUGUGACCCUAUUACACAUAAUAUUUUUUAACUUCUCUUUUCAAAAUUAACAGCCCUCUAAGCAUUCUUUUCAACUUCUAAAAUUAAAUCUUGUUGUGGCCAUAGAUGACUUCUGUUUGCUUUUGUAACUCCAGCUGCCAGCCUACUGCUUUGCACACAGUAAGUGUUCAAUAACUAUUGAAAAAGUGAAUGUAUGAAUGAGUGAAUGAUGAU
ensembl:lncRNA PCA3 prostate cancer associated 3